AUUGAACGCUGGCGGCAUGCCUUACACAUGCAAGUCGAACGGCAACGCGGGGCAACCUGGCGACGAGUGGCGAACGGGUGAGUAAUGCAUCGGAACGUGCCCAGUAGUGGGGGAUAGCCCGGCGAAAGCCGGAUUAAUACCGCAUACGACCUACGGGUGAAAGGGGGGGAUCGCAAGACCUCUCGCUAUUGGAGCGGCCGAUGUCAGAUUAGGUAGUUGGUGGGGUAAAGGCCUACCAAGCCGACGAUCUGUAGCUGGUCUGAGAGGACGACCAGCCACACUGGGACUGAGACACGGCCCAGACUCCUACGGGAGGCAGCAGUGGGGAAUUUUGGACAAUGGGCGCAAGCCUGAUCCAGCCAUGCCGCGUGCGGGAAGAAGGCCUUCGGGUUGUAAACCGCUUUUGUCAGGGAAGAAAUCUUCUGGGUUAAUACCUCGGGAGGAUGACGGUACCUGAAGAAUAAGCACCGGCUAACUCUGUGCCAGCAGCCGCGGUAAUAC
rnacentral:rRNA from 1 species